UGGGGAAUAUUGCGCAAUGGGCGAAAGCCUGACGCAGCGACGCCGCGUGAGGGAAGAAGGCCUUCGGGUCGUAAACCUCUGUCUAGAGGGAAGAAACCAUUGAGGUUGAAUAGGCCUCUUUGCUGACGGUACCUCUGAAGGAAGCACCGGCUAACUCCGUGCCAGCAGCCGCGGUAAUACGGAGGGUGCGAGCGUUAAUCGGAAUCACUGGGCGUAAAGCGCCCGUAGGAGGUGUCGUAAGUCGGAUGUGAAAGCCCUCGGCUCAACCGGGGAACUGCAUUCGAUACUGCGAUGCUUGGGUGCCGGGGAGGGUGGCGGAAUUCCAGGUGUAGGAGUGAAAUCCGUAGAUAUCUGGAGGAACACCAGUGGCGAAGGCGGCCACCUGGCCGGCAACUGACGCUGAGGUGCGAAAGCGUGGGGAUCAAACA
rnacentral:rRNA from 1 species